UCCUCCCAUGUAUGCUGCCAAUUUUGCUGGUACUAUGCUAACUGAGAGCCCUAUUUCUGAUUCCAAAUUUUGCAUGUUAACUCACAUUAAUUCUGCUACCUGGAUAAUAGAUUCAGGAGCAUAUAACCAUAUGACAUUUAAUAAAGAUUUACUCUUCAAUCUCAUACCUUUAACUGUACCCUAUCUUGUUACUCUUCCCAAUGGAUAUAAAGUGAAAGUGACAUGCACAGGAUAUUUUACAUUAAAUCCAUUCAUCACUCUUCAUAAUGUCCUACUUGUUCUUUCUUUCAAACAUAACUUGAUUUCUGUCCACAAGUUAGUGAAACAGUUGCAUUGCAUAGUACUGUUCACUGCAACUUCAUGUUUAAUUCACUUGUUACAGGCCCCUUCUCUGAGGAUGCCUCUGGAUCUUGGUAAAGAGGAGGCUGGUCUGUACAAGCUUGUUUGGGUGCCACCUUCAUCUUCUUCUAAUUGUGGUUCUUCUGUUUCUGUAUGUUCUUCUUCUUCUUCUAAUUCUUGUAAACAUGACUAUUCUAGUAAUCAAGCUAUUGGUUUGCCUUUGAAUGUAAACAGUUCCAUGUGUAAUAAUACUGUUGCCACAGACAUGAAUUACAUUUGGCAUUUAAAGUUGGGUCAUAUACCUUUUGUGAACAUGAAACACAUUUCUGCUUUAUCUUUUCCAUUUGCUUCUUAACAGCCUUUUCAAUGCUCUACCUGUCCUAUGGCCAGGCAAACUAGGCUUCCCUUUCCUGAAAGCACUACUAGUACAUCUAAACCUUUUCAGUUGAUUCAUGUUGAUACUUGGGGACCUUAUCAUACCCCCACCUCUUCUGGUUCUAGAUAUUUUCUCACAAUAGUUGAUGAUUUUUCUAGGGCAACCUGGACACAUUUGUUAGGGUCAAAAAGCAAUGCUUUCUGCAUGCUUCAAUCUUUUCUCUGUAUGGUUAAGACCCAAUACAAUGCAAAUGUACAAACUGUUAGGAGUGACAAUGCUUUAGAAUUGGGAUCUAGCAUUGCUGGUACAUCCUUUUUUAACCAACAUGGCAUCAUACACCAAACUAAUUACCCACAUACUCCCCAACAGAAUGGUGUUGUUGAGAGGAAACAUAGAACUCUUCUUGAAACCUGUAGAGCUUUACUUUUCCAGUCUGGUUUACCCAUUUCUUUCUGGGGUGAUUGUCUAUUAACUGCUACCUAUCUUAUUAAGAGAAUACCCUCCAGGCUCCUUCAUGGUAAAUCCCCUUAUGAAAUCUUGCAUGGUAAGGCACCCACUUACACUCAUUUAAAGGCUUUUGGCUGCCUUGCCUAUGCUACUGUCCCCAUUCCUCAAAGGGACAAGUUAAAGCCUAAGGCCAUUUCUUGUGUUUUCCUAGGGUAUCCUUUUGCUAGAAAGGGUUAUAAACUAUAUGAUCUUAGUUCCAAAAGUGUUUUGUGUCCAGGGAUGUUGUCUUUCAUGAAACUUCUUUUCCUUUCAAAUCUGCCU
rnacentral:lncRNA from 1 species